AAUUUCUACUGAGUCCCACCUUGUCCUGUGUCCGCCUCCUGCCUCCCACCACUCCAUCUUUGAAACAGCUUCACAGAGGUGGAAUUGAAACAUCUCCAUUGCCAGCAAAGCCUGAGAAGUGUUGCUUUCUGACCCCUUGGUUAGACUAGAGCACCUCCCUGGACUUCACGUUUGUGGCCUUAUGUAAUACCUGGAUUGUUGCCUGGUGUUUGAAGCAAGGACUUACACUUUGGAUCUGAUUGCUGUUUUUCUCUGGUUAUCUCUUCUACGUUGUUAAUCUCACAUUGUUCAACCAUACCCAAACAAUGUGAAUUAACCGAACAUGUUCUGGCUGUGGAGAUGAUCUGAAUAAAACUGCAAAAACAGUCAUAACCUUCAGAGUCUUGCAGGUGGUCUUGGGAAGGCCAAGCACAAAGGAGCUGGAGAGCAGUCACAAACAGAGCAUCAACAUGAACAAAGGAAGGUACCACUGGCUGAACACUGGAGGGCCGGAAAAUGCAGAAAAUGGUCAGCGAGAGAAAAGUGAUGAGGCUUCUUGGAGGAAAUACAUUCUAUCUGUGAUUGCAAAUCAAAACUUCUUUGUGAUGAUUCACAACCUACUGCACCAACAGCCCCAAAUGAGAGCCAACACACCAUGCACACCAACAUUCCUGAAAGUGCCUGGUUUAUGAAUAUGAAUGGAUAUUCCUUAAAGCAAUGAUUUAUUUAG
ensembl:lncRNA